rnacentral:rRNA from 1 species
GACGAGGGAUCCCUAGCGUUGUUCGGAAUCAUUGGGCGUAAAGGGUGCGUAGGUGGCUAUGUAAGUCAGAUGUGAAAUCCCAGGGCUCAACCCUGGAAGUGCAUUUGAUACUGGAAGUCUUGAGUGUGGUAGAGGUUACUGGAAUUGUUGGUGUAGUGGUGAAAUACGUAGAUAUCAACAGGAAUACCGGAGGCGAAGGCGAGUAACUGGGCCAACACUGACACUGAGACCCGAAAGCGU